AAUCUGUUUGUCUUAGUGACAUGUGCAAAUAAAGGUGACCAAGACCCACAGAUUCC
rnacentral:pre_miRNA from 1 species